ACUGAACACAUGCUAAGGUGAAGCUGUCGGAUCGUCUGCUGUCUUUCUGCUGCUGUUGCGCUGCCCGUCGAUCAUUUAAAAGCCUGUACAGCAGCUGUCCUUUUGCCACUUCAUGUUCAUCUGCUGGGUUUCUGAUGCUGGUGAGCUGCAUGUUUUGCUUGUGGCUUGUCGUUGUUUUAAGAGCUGGGAGCAAGUUAGGCAUUUGUCUCGUGCCAACGUUUUUUUGAGCC